AUUGAACGCUGGCGGCAGGCCUAACACAUGCAAGUCGAGCGAGCGGCGGACGGGUGAGUAAUGUCUGGGAAACUGCCUGAUGGAGGGGGAUACCUACUGGAAACGGUAGCUAAUCCCGCAUACCAUCAGAUGUGCCCAGAUGGGAUUAGCUAGUAGGUGGGGAAACGGCUCACGUAGGCGACGAUCCCUAGCUUGUCUGAGAGGAUGACCAGCCAAACUGGAACUGAGAAACGGUCCAGACUCCGACGGGAGGCAGCAGUGGGGAAUAUUGACCAAUGGGCGCAAGCCUGAUGCAGCCAUGCCGCGUGUGUGAAGAAGGCCUUCGGGUUGUAAAGCACUUUCAGCGGGGAGGCGUUACCCGCAGAAGAAGCACCGGCUAACUCCGUGCCAGCAGCCGCGGUAUAC
rnacentral:rRNA from 1 species